rnacentral:rRNA from 1 species
CACGUAGGGUGCGAGCGUUGUCCGGAAUUAUUGGGCGUAAAGAGCUCGUAGGCGGCUUGUCGCGUCGUCCGUGAAAACCCAUGGCUCAACUGUGGGCUUGCGGUCGAUACGGGCAGGCUGGAGUUCGGUAGGGGAGACUGGAAUUCCUGGUGUAGCGGUGAAAUGCGCAGAUAUCUGGAGGAAUACCGGUGGCGAAGGCGGCAUCCUGGACCGACAUUGACGCUGAUGAGCGAAAGCUAGGGGAGCAAACGGG